AUAACGGUGCCCCGGGCGCAAGUUGCUGCGGUGUAGCUACCCGGGCCGGGGCGUGCGCCCUGGCCCCGUAGCUUGCGGGCGGGCGGGCGCGGUGCCGCGGCGGGUGGGGAGACCUAAAGGGCAAGGAAAUAAAGUUUCAGUACAAAACGGUUCGAUUCAUCAAAAAGAUGCUGUAAAUGAUGAUGAUUUUGAGCCAUACUUAAGUAGCCAGACAAAUCAGAGUAACAGCUAUCCACCAAUGUCAGAUCCAUACAUGCCUAGUUACUAUGCUCCAUCCAUUGGAUUUCCAUAUUCUCUUGGGGAAGCAGCGUGGUCCACAGCUGGAGACCAGCCUAUGCCAUAUCUGACAACCUAUGGACAAAUGAGUAAUGGAGAACAUCACUAUAUACCAGAUGGUGUAUUUAGUCAACCUGGGGCAUUAGGAAAUACCCCUCCAUUUCUUGGUCAACAUGGAUUUAACUUUUUUCCUGGUAAUGCUGAUUUCUCUACAUGGGGGACAAGUGGAUCUCAGGGACAAUCAACACAAAGUUCUGCUUAUAGUAGCA
rnacentral:lncRNA from 1 species